UGGGAGAGUUUUAAGGAGAGCAGUGAAAUCAUCCAAUUAAUGUUUGAACAGGGUUGCUCAGGCUGACAAUUUGGUAACAGACCACAGGGGUCAGAGUGGCAGCAGGGAAACCAACUAAAAGCCAGUGUAAUAGACAUGGAGGUGGCCUGGAUCCGGUGGUAGAAAGGAGGUGGUGAGAAGAGGCUGGAUUCAGGAUACGGUUUUAUAGAAGGAGCUGACAGAAUUUGAUGAUGGAGUCCAUGAGAACUGUGGAAACAAGAGAGGAGUUGCAGAAUUGGCCUGAGCCAAAGGAUAAAGUCGCCAUUUAUGCUCCCCGGUGUUGGAUCUGUGUACAGAACCUGGGCCUGAGCAGCUGCACUGUGACCAGUUCAGGGGUGGCCCUCGUGCCGAAGAAGGGAGGUCUUUAAUGACAUCACUGAGCCACUGAACUCAACCCAGGAGCCUCCCUACCUCCUGAUGUCUUAGAAGAUUCAUAAAAACGUGAGUCCUAGAGCUGCGGUGGUGGGCAAAGCUGGGGAAGGAGCCGCAGGAGAGAAAAGAAACGUGGCCAGAGGUGCCAAGGCGUCUGGGGCUUCGUCUUUCUGGGUACCCUGUGUUUGGGGGGGUUGGGGUGCAGAGCCAACUAGUCCCAAAGGGCUGCAUCAUGACCUUCUAGGGUCCUGGGCACACUCUCCUUAGGGGAGGAGGGGGCAGGGCUUCCUGUAUAAAAAUAUUACAAAUUACAUUUUAUG